ACCUCGAUGGUGUAGUGGUAGCACGCGUCCCCGCUAUGGAUGAGACGCGGGAUCGACUCCCGCUUGAGGUC